rnacentral:antisense_RNA from 2 species
UGUUAUGGCGGCUGUGCGCGGGAGACUUUCGAGUCUGCCGGGUUUCUCCGUUCCCCGGGUUCCAACCUGCGUACAGCUGCCACCCCU